GGAAAUUUGAAUUGAUCCCUUUGCAGGCAAGAGAUAAGUUGGUAUCUAUCAGACACACACAACUUCACUUGAAAUGGAAAAUGAUCCAAGACUCACAACAUAUUUGGAGGAUGCCCAGAAAAGGAAAGAACAGGAACAAGCCAACUAUGUGCAAAAAAUAACUUCAUUUAGAGAAGAAGCUCAACAAACACUGGCCAAAAGAAAGGUUGAGAGAUUAAAGGUGAGGUGACCCUUUUUGCCACUGGAUGUGCAAAGCAAAUAGCAUCUAAUUUCUUCUUACAAUAUCACCCUGAAUCACAAAUCAAGGCCAAGAGAAAAGAGGAAAAGAAGCUUCUGAUUGUUAAACAAAUUCUCCUUGUGAGCACCUUAAGAAAUUUUUAGAGAAGAGUAUGGAGAAUAUUAAAAGUGAUGUUAGGGUGUAAUGGGUUUAAGAUGGAGGACGGAUUGAGAAUCUUUU